UACAGGAUGAUAAAUACCGUACUCGCAUCAUAACUGUGACUUGCCGGACGGGCACAUUAGUAUCCUACCGCGUUAAUCGAAACGAGUGUUUCCGCUUCGAAUAAUUUUAUAUACUACAUACUGUUAACUUACAUCUACGUGCUAGGAGCUCACGUGCAGAACAUACCUACUGCCGUUCGUGUACGUGUCGUGUGUAUUACACACGUGAAACUGUUGCAACAAGAUCUGCCUCGUAUUCAAAGUAAAAUUUAUCUUUCCGAGUAACAGAACCUAAUCCACUGUCAUUCCAUUUGCGAGCGUGUUAUCUGGUACCUUUUUCGAAACGUGAACUGUUUGUAGGAUAUUUUCGCAAUACAGAGCCACUAAAACUUGAAGAAUUUACUUCGUUAGACCUUUACAGGUCUGUGGCAGAGCACAGCGCUUUGAUCGAGGGCUACAGGGACGAUGCAAAGGCCGCGAAGAUAUUAUCAGCAGAAGUUAUCUUUCCUUUCCACUCACUCAGCAAGAAAAUGGUCUGCUGAUGAACCCAACACGGGCAAGCAAUUUUAGUUCCUUGUACAAGGGUCCUGACGUGUGACCUCAGAGGAAGAGGAUGUUCUUAUUCAUUACCGGCCGGAUACGUGGUGAUAGAUUUAAUCAGGUCCUUUCCUGAGAAAAGCUGCUAUGAUUCGCGGUAUUCCGGACCAUUCGAGACUGAGUUAUCUUUAAUUCACCUUUUUUUUUUUAAAUACCCUUAAUUUUACCAUCAUGUAUCUUCUUAAAAUUAAUUAUUAAAAUGAAAAAAUAUAUAUAU